UGCAUUCACUACUGUAAGUUGCUCUGGAUAAGAGUGUCUGCUAAAUGACCAAAA
rfam:Salmo salar isolate Sally breed double haploid chromosome ssa25, whole genome shotgun sequence.